rnacentral:rRNA from 1 species
CCUACGGGUGGCAGCAGUGGGGAAUAUUGCGCAAUGGGCGAAAGCCUGACGCAGCGACGCCGCGUGAGGGAUGAAGGUCUUCGGAUCGUAAACCUCUGUCAGCAGGGAAGAACGGUCACUUUGCUAAUCAGCAGUGAAUUGACGGUACCUGCAAAGGAAGCACCGGCUAACUCCGUGCCAGCAGCCGCGGUAAUACGGAGGGGGCGAGCGUUAAUCGGAAUUACUGGGCGGAAGGCGCUCGUAGGCGGUAUGUCAAGUCAAGGGUGAAAUCCCCGCGCUCAACGUGGGAACUGCCUUUGAAACUGGCAGACUGGAGUGUGUGAGAGGAUAGUGGAAUUCCAGGUGUAGGAGUGAAAUCCGUAGAUAUCUGGAGGAACAUCAGUGGCGAAGGCGACUAGCUGGAACAUAACUGACGCUGAGGAGCGAAAGCGUGGGUAGCAAACAGGAUUAGAUACCCCUGUAGUC